GAUGAACGCUGGCGGCGUGCCUAAUACAUGCAAGUCGAGCGAACGGACGAGAAGCUUGCUUCUCUGAUGUUAGCGGCGGACGGGUGAGUAACACGUGGAUAACCUACCUAUAAGACUGGGAUAACUUCGGGAAACCGGAGCUAAUACCGGAUAAUAUUUUGAACCGCAUGGUUCAAAAGUGAAAGACGGUCUUGCUGUCACUUAUAGAUGGAUCCGCGCUGCAUUAGCUAGUUGGUAAGGUAACGGCUUACCAAGGCAACGAUGCAUAGCCGACCUGAGAGGGUGGUCGGCCACGCGGGAACUGAGACACGGUCCAGACUCCUACGGGAGGCAGCAGUCGGGAAUCUGCCGCAGUGGGCGAAAGCCUGACGGAGCAACGCCGCGUGAGUGAUGAAGGUCUUCGGAUCGUAAAACUCUGUUAUUAGUGAAGAACAUAUGUGUAAGGAACUGUGCACAUCUUGACGGUACUUAAUCAGAAAGCAACGGCUAACUACGUG
rnacentral:rRNA from 1 species